GAAGCUGAGUGGUAAGAUAAUAAAGCUGCUUCAUUAAGACACCGCCCUUUCACGGCGGUAACACGGGUUCGAAUCCCGUACGGGUCA
rnacentral:tRNA from 1 species